CAGUUGAUGUAAAUGUAAUCUGCUACCAAUCCACUCAAGAGAAGAGAAUGGGACCCUGUUAUCAGCCCAGGGAGACAUUCCAUGGAAAUGGAAGAAAAUGAUGAAGAAGAUAAUGAAGAGGGCAGCCCAUCCCGACAGAAAGAAGGGCCGAGUGGCCUCAGAAACCUUCAAUCGAUUUUAUACUAAUGACUGCAUGCCAUCUUUAAAUCAAUGUCGAGUCAUCCAUGUUGACACAAGGAGUUCAAGUUCAUUCAUUCUAUUUGAGCUUGAUAACAUGGGUCUACUUCACC